rnacentral:rRNA from 1 species
UACGUAGGGGGCUAGCGUUGUCCGGAUUUAUUGGGCGUAAAGAGCGUGUAGGCGGCCAUGUAGGUCCGGUGUGAAAACUCGAGGCUUAACCUCGAGAUGUCAUCGGAAACCAUUUGGCUAGAGUCCGGAAGAGGAGAGUGGAAUUCCUGGUGUAGCGGUGAAAUGCGCAGAUAUCAGGAAGAACACCUAUGGCGAAGGCAGGUCACUGGGCCGCAACUGACGCUGAGGAGCGAAAGCAUGGGGAGCGAACAGG